rnacentral:rRNA from 1 species
UUGACCUCGGAUCAGGUAGGAAGACCCGCUGAACUUAAGCAUAUCAAUAAGCGGAGGAAAAGAAACCAACAGGGAUUGCCCUAGUAACGGCGAGUGAAGCGGCAACAGCUCAAAUUUGAAAUCUGGCUUCGGCCCGAGUUGUAAUUUGCAGAGGAAGCUUUAGGCGCGGCACCUUCUGAGUCCCCUGGAACGGGGCGCCAUAGAGGGUGAGAGCCCCGUAUAGUUGGAUGCCUAGCCUGUGUAAAGCUCCUUCGACGAGUCGAGUAGUUUGGGAAUGCUGCUCAAAAUGGGAGGUAAAUUUCUUCUAAAGCUAAAUACCGGCCAGAGACCGAUAGCGCACAAGUAGAGUGAUCGAAAGAUGAAAAGCACUUUGAAAAGAGGGUUAAAUAGCACGUGAAAUUGUUGAAAGGGAAGCGCUUGUGACCAGACUUGCGCCGGGCAGAUCAUCCGGUGUUCUCACCGGUGCACUCUGCCCGGCUCAGGCCAGCAUCGGUUCUCGCGGGGGGAUAAAGGUCCUGGGAACGUAGCUCCUCCGGGAGUGUUAUAGCCCGGGGCGUAAUGCCCUCGCGGGGACCGAGGUUCGCGCAUCUGCAAGGAUGCUGGCGUAAUGGUCAUCAGCGAC